GUUUAGUAGGGAGCACAUAUAUUAACACGGGAACAGUACAGAGAAGAUUAGCAUGGCCCCUGCACAAGCAGAUUAUUUAAGGAUUUUUUUUUU
rnacentral:snRNA from 1 species